UAAAGGGAUAGCUAAGAGAAGUUCAUUUCAGAUUUUUGGGUAGCUAAAAACCCAAAAAAUAACAAAUUAGCUGAAAAUAUCCAAAAACACUGUUCCAUUAAAAUUUUCUGAAACUCUUGAAGAUUUUUGAUUUCUGAAACAAUCCUUAGAUAAUCGAAGGUUUGAAAUGGCUUAAACUGGUUGGUUUCAGGUGUUUGGGUUCGAGUUUUUGGUUGCAUUUGAUUACUGGACAUUAUUGGAUCCUUCUGCUGGUUGGAGUUUGGUUCAAAACUGAUUUUCCUUCAGUUAUUUCUAGGUUGUGUUGUUCAGCUGCUAACCUUUUGCUGUUUAUUUCAUUUCCAGGAUGAGCACAAUCCCAAAAUGAACCUUCCUCAAUCAUAAGUAAAAUCCCUUUGGAGUUGCGGCUGCGGUGGAAUGAUUUAGGUGGAGAAGGGCAAGACGAGGUCAAGAAAUACUUGGGGGCCUUCCUGGACUGUUGGAGAUUAUAUCCAGGGGAGACAUCAUAAGGGCCUUAGUCACAUGCUAGGACCCGGCUCACAAUGUAUUCCACUUCUCAGAUUUUGAACUUAACCCAACAUUAGAAGAGAUAUCUGGAUACAUCGGGGGUCCCAAGGUUCCUCUGAGGCACCAAUACCUGAUUGCUCCAAGGAUUGUAGCCGUACACAGGUUCCUGGAUUCUUUGAAAAUAAGCAGGGUGGUACACAACUCGGACCUGGCAGCUGGCUUUUGUAAGCUGCCAUUUAAAUACAAAAGAUAUGUUCAUAUAGGAGGGUUCAACAAACCGGAGAACAAAAUUUGUAGCAAGGGAAACCGCCUUAAAUGGGAGGAACAUAGGCAUGUUGCGUUCAUGGUGGCCUUUCUAGGACUUCUGGUGUUUCCUAGAAAAGACAAAAAUAUUGACAUCUGAGUAUGUGGGGUUGUUAGUACUUUGCUUACUCAGGCCAACAACACCCUCGCACCCAUGAUAGUAGCUGAGAUUUUCCGCGUUCUUACUGUUUGCAAAGCCGGAUGGGACUUUUUUUAGGGUUGUAAUGUGCUGCUGCAGAUGUGGAUGAUCGAGCACUUAUGAAAUCAUCCCCGAUUUAUGAGUUAUGGGUCAUCAGAGAAGACAUGCAUAGAGGCUACGAAGGUUAAGAGGAUUAGCUUACCAGAGGGGGUCGCAGAAUGGGUAACACGCCUCCGUUCCGUCACUGCAUGACAGAUAGAGUGGACAUUUGGGUAGUUAUCUGUGGAUGAAGUCAUAUAUAUACCAGUCACCGGACCUCAUUUUCUACUGAUGGGACUUAGGAGUAUUCAUCCUUAUACCCCGUAUCGAGUUCUGAGGCAGUUAGGAAGAUGCCAAAUAGUCCCGAAGGAUGAGGAUCUUAGUGGCCAAGUAGUUCAGAUCGGGUCUGAUGGUCAAUUUCAUGAAGCAGUAGUUCGCAAAAUUUGGAAUGAAUGUCAGUACUUAACAGCAGAUACUUGUGUACGAGAUCGGUCCAGGGGUGAAGUGUUGCCAGGAUACCUUGCUUGGUACAGGAGAUAAAUUGAGUUCGAGAGACCUACCAAGAGGCCCCAUGUCCAGGAAUUCAUCGAGGCGUCGCAGGAACAAUGGGACUGGUUGGCUAAAGAACACACGUACAGGGCUGCAAUAGGCAAACUGGAGAAGCAGGUCAUGGAUUUGCAAUUUCAGAAAGAUUUGUAGGCCGCCGCGGAUGAAGGCGAAAAGAAGAAACUAGCUGAAGAAAAUGAGGCUCUUCGAGCCCAAAUUUAGAAAAUGAAAAUAGCGGCAGAAAACCCUGUCCGAAGUGCCAAAGAUGCAAAACUGAUAAAUAAUUUGAGGCAGAAAGUGAAUGACUAUAGUUUUGAUCUGAACAAAGCAGAAAGAGAACUAGCCUGGGUUCGAAAAUAAUUGGCUAAAAAUGAGGCAGAACGAGUCCGUCUGGUUAAGUAGUUGAAAUAAGAAUACGACAAUGAGGUCGUAGGGCUAAAGAAAAAGGUCAUCGCCGCAGAAAAUAAGAAAAUCAGACAGGCAAAAGACUUCAAGGUUGAAAGGGAACAGUGUUAUGCAGCAAUGGCACAACUAGAAAACGAUUUGCAACAGCUCCGAGAGCAUAAUCAGGUAGCCGAACAAACUUUGGGAGCCAGAACUGAGCAGAUUGGGCGGUUAUUACAAGAGAAAGGUGUCAUAAGAGAGAGAAUCAGGACAAUCGCCCAUUACAUCGCCACGAAGUGCAGCAGCUGUGAGGAUAUAACCAAGUCUAUGUUUUUCGCCACCACGAUGCUUUUCUUCGUCGGGUAAUGGAAGACCUCCACCACCUCCAAGGGGAUUUAGAUAGCCGACCUGCGACAAGGCCGAAUGAUGCCCCGCGUGUCCCAGGAGUAAUUGAAGUGCUAAUGUAUUCGUGAUUUUUGAGUCUGUAUUUCCUUUCCAUUAAAGUCUGCCAGUUUGUCUCGGAGUCUGUAUUUUCUUAUUAUGUGAUUUAGUAGUUUUUCGAGUCAGUAUUCCGUCUUUAAUCAAAGUUUCUUGUUUAAGUCUGUUAGUUUUCGAGUCUUUGUAAUCAAUUUUGUUUUAUGAAAAAUUGAAAUUCCAAUUUUUUUUAUUAUUUUACA